CAGUACUUUGUGCUCCAGUCUGUUGUCCAGUUGAACUCUGAGGUACUAGUAUUCCUCCACUACCUCCACCUCUUCUCCCAGGAUGUAAACAGUGUUUU